rnacentral:rRNA from 1 species
UACGAAGGGGGCGAGCGUUGUUCGGAUUUACUGGGCGUAAAGGGUGCGUAGGCGGGUCUUUAAGUCCGGGGUGAAAUCCUGGAGCUCAACUCCAGAACUGCCUUUGAUACUGAAGAUCUUGAGUUCGGGAGAGGUGAGUGGAACUGCGAGUGUAGAGGUGAAAUUCGUAGAUAUUCGCAAGAACACCAGUGGCGAAGGCGGCUCACUGGCCCGAUACUGACGCUGAGGCACGAAAGCGUGGGGAGCAAACAGG